UACGGAGGGUGCAAGCGUUGUUCGGAAUCACUGGGCGUAAAGGGCGUGUAGGCGGCCUGUUAAGUCUGAUGUGAAAUCCCCUCGCUCAACGAGGGAACUGCGUCGGAAACUGGCAGGCUUGAGUACCGGAGAGGAAGGUGGAAUUCCCGGUGUAGCGGUGAAAUGCGUAGAUAUGUGGAGGAAUACCGAUGGCGAAGGCAGCCCCCUGGGAUAACACUGACGCUCAUGCACGAAAGCGUGGGGAGCAAACAGG
rnacentral:rRNA from 1 species